rnacentral:rRNA from 1 species
GUGAGUAACGCGUAUACAAUCUACCCAUAUCAGGGGGAUAGCCCGAAGAAAUUCGGAUUAAUACCCCAUAACAUUUACGAGAGGCAUCUCUUGUAUCUUAAACCUUCGGGGGAUAUGGAUGAGUAUGCGUGCCAUUAGUUAGAUGGUGAGGUAACGGCUCACCAUGACAAUGAUGGCUACGGGGUCUUAAAGGAUGGUCCCGCACACUGGUACUGAGACACGGACCAGACUCC